UUGAAUUUCUACUCGCAAAGUGUUCGCGUGGUUAAAGUGGUGCAUAGCGUCGACGGUUCGGUGGUUCAUGAGCGUUUAGACAGUUAUCACACUAACGUUACUUUCGUCUGGCGUCUGGUUGCGAGCAGGCAUUGGCAGACACGAAAUCGCGCAUAACGCAUUUUUGACAUUUCGGCAAUUGUCCGUCCGUCAAUGCCAAGGCGGACGUCGAAGAGUUGACCGAAUUUCGCUUACGUUUCCGCACAGUUUUGAUUUAAUUUCGCUUUUCUGUUUUAUUCUGUGUUAUUGUUUUCUCUGUUGUUUUAUGAAAGCCCAACGUGACCCUGUUGUGGCAUUGUCGCUGGCGCGUCGGUGAAACUUGCUAAAGUGAUCAGAAUUCCAAAAAGGAACUGCGGAGAGAAGCGCAGUCAACUACAUAAUAUUUCGAAUAAACGCGAAGUGGAAUGCGAAGGUGUAAGAGCAAAGUUGAAACAAGUAAAAAUACUGUUGAAAAACAAAUCUGAAAUUCGUGUGAAGCAAAGAGAACGCGUCAGAAAAAGUGAAAACAAGGGAGGGCUGAGAGAAUUGCCAGAGUUUUUCCCGAUCAAAAGAAUUUGCUGAAUAAACAGUUGCAUUGAAAAUAUAAAAAUCCCGCUGCGA
rnacentral:misc_RNA from 1 species